GUGUCAAGUGAAAAUAACUUGAGGGCUAUGAUGGAAAAGAUGUGGAGUUCACCUGGCUGAGAGGGAACGACUCUGCAUGGGCUGGAAACCCUGUGGCUUGCUUAGUACACCAUACAGUGGUAUUUCACCUUGGUCACCAGAUCGCAGCAGGAGACAGGUGUAGCUGGUGGGGAUGGACUGAGUCGGAAGAGGAGGAGGCUCCUGAAGAGCAGCUAAUUCUUGCCUUUUGCUUGACUGUGGUCUAAGGACAUGGAAGGACAGUGAUCUGAUGAUGGACCACCGCGUAAGGUACACAAUGAUGAGAGACUUGAGUCCUGCUUUCUAACUUAGAAAAGGCAUGUGUGUUGAACACCUGGCCACGGAGAA
rnacentral:lncRNA from 1 species